rnacentral:rRNA from 1 species
CCUACGGGAGGCAGCAGUGGGGAAUAUUGCACAAUGGGGGAAACCCUGAUGCAGCGACGCCGCGUGAGUGAAGAAGUAUUUCGGUACGUAAAGCUCUAUCAGCCGGGAAGAAAAAAAGUCCUUUGGACUUUGGACGGUACCUGACUAAGAAGCCACGGCUAACUACGUGCCAGCAGCCGCGGUCAUACGUAGGGGGCAAGCGUUAUCCGGAUUUACUGGGUGUAAAGGGGGCGCAGACGGGGAUGCACGCCAGGAGUGAAAGACCGGGGCCCAACCCCGGGAGUGCUCUUGGAACUGGGUGGCUGGAGUGCAGGAGGGGCAGGCGGAAUGCGUGGUGUAGCGGUGAAAUGCGUAGAUAUCAGGAGGAACACCGGUGGCGAAGGCGGCCUGCGGGACUGCAACUGACGUUGAGGCCCGAAAGCGUGGGGAGCAAACAGGAUUAGAUACCCCUGUAGUC